AGUUAUAUGUAUUUUACUGUUGUUUUUACUUGAAGCUUUCUUAGAUUUUGAAACGAAGUAAACACGUAGCCUAAUGUGUGUUGCUAAUGUUGGGCCAUGUAACAUGUAAUACAUUUACGUUUUAAUGAAUAGUCUAACGAGUUAUAGUCGUUGUACUCUAUUGUUAUAAUAUGUCUUUUUGACUGAAUACAUGUUUGUUUUAUUUGUCUAUAUCUUAGAUUCGCAGCUGGACACAUCCUUCUACACUGUAUGCAAACAUGCAACAUCAUAACACACAGUACAAGGAGUCAGACUGGCAUAUGAGGAGCAAAGGAACCCAGACAGUAGCAUCGUUUCACAAUGUUUCCAUCACCAUCAUCAGUGGAUGCCUUUGCUGUCCGUAGCCUGAGAUUUCAGAUUUGCAGCAAAAAAAAUUGAUUUUCUCAUUUAUUGGAAUGCUAUGCAGGUUGUACCUUGCAGCCAUCCAUUACAAUGUCACCAAGCCGUAACAAAAGCAGGAGAGGGAAAGUACAAGGCUAUGUUCCCAAAACACACAAAUGACAUACCUUAUGUGGAUGAUGUGAUCAGGCUUGUGUUUGCUGAGGUAUUUGAAGAUAAGCUGAAGGAAACCCCGAUUCCAAUGGACCUGGCAUCACAGUUUGAGAGACCUUCAAAGGAGGACGUGAUUGCAUGCCAUCUUCAGUGCAG